CAAGUGAGUUGUAAAAAGAGUAAAAUAUUUACAAGGGAAUAUACAACGAUAUAAAUAUAAACACUUAAAUAUAAGGUGUUAGGCUAUUAAAACGUGUAUAUCAAUAAAAAUUGAGAUGAUUAUGAACAUUUGUUAAAUACAAGGGCAAGCAUUUGCAAUUGGAUAUGGAUGUACGCAUUCACAUAUAUCUCAGCGAGUUGGCUU
rnacentral:sRNA from 1 species